rnacentral:rRNA from 1 species
UACGUAGGGUGCAAGCGUUGUCCGGAAUUAUUGGGCGUAAAGAGCUCGUAGGCGGUUUGUCGCGUCUGCUGUGAAAAACUCGGGGGCUUAACCCCCGGGCCUGCAGUGGGUACGGGCAGACUAGAGUGCGGUAGGGGGAGACUGGAAUUCCUGGUGUAGCGGUGGAAUGCGCAGAUAUCAGGAGGAACACCGGUGGCGAAGGCGGGGUCUCUGGGGCAGUAACUGACGCUGAGGCGCGAAAGCGUGGGGAGCAAACAGG